AUUGAACGCUGGCGGCAUGCCUUACACAUGCAAGUCGAACGGUAACAAGUCUUCGGAUGCUGACGAGUGGCGAACGGGUGAGUAAUACAUCGGAACGUGCCCGAGAGUGGGGGAUAACGAGGCGAAAGCUUUGCUAAUACCGCAUACGAUCUCAGGAUGAAAGCAGGGGACCGCAAGGCCUUGCGCCCACGGAGCGGCCGAUGGCAGAUUAGGUAGUUGGUGGGAUAAAAGCUUACCAAGCCGACGAUCUGUAGCUGGUCUGAGAGGACGACCAGCCACACUGGGACUGAGACACGGCCCAGACUCCUACGGGAGGCAGCAGUGGGGAAUUUUGGACAAUGGGCGCAAGCCUGAUCCAGCCAUGCCGCGUGCAGGAUGAAGGCCUUCGGGUUGUAAACUGCUUUUGUACGGAACGAAAAGACUCUGGUUAAUACCUGGGGUUCAUGACGGUACCGUAAGAAUAAGCACCGGCUAACUACGUACCAGCAGCCGCGGUAACAC
rnacentral:rRNA from 1 species